rnacentral:rRNA from 1 species
GACGAACGCUGGCGGCGUGCCUAAUACAUGCAAGUCGAACGAACAGACCAGGAGCUUGCUCCUCUGACGUUAGCGGCGGACGGGAGAGUCACAUGUGGAUAACCUACCUAUCAGACUGGGAUAACUACGGGACACCGGAUCUAAUACCGGAUAAUAUAUUGCACCGCAUGGUUCAAUAGUGAAAGUCGGUUUUGCUGUCACUAAUAGCUGGAUCCGCGCAGCAUUAGCUAGUUGGUAAGGUAACGGCUUACCAAGGCGAGGAGGCGUAGCCGACCGAAGCGGGUGGUCGCCCACAUGGGAUGAGAGACAGGGUCCAGACUCCUGCGGUGAGCAGCAGUCGGGAAUCGUCCGCAAUGGGGGAGAGCCUGACAGAGCAACGCGGCGUGAGUGAUGAAGGUCUUCGGAUCGGAAAGCUCUGUUAGUAGGGGAGAACAAAUGUGUAAUUAACCGUGCAGGUCUUGACGGUACCGGGUCAAAAAGCCACGGCUAACUACGUG